CCAAAACUUCAGCCCCCACUAAGGCCAUGUCCCACCUCCGGACAAAGGGACAUUGAAAGUCAGACUGUCCCAGACCUCUGGGAGUGGGGCCAAGUGUUCCAGUCUCAAGGCCGACACUGAUCUGUCCUUCCCCAGUCUGCUGGAAACACCUACUGAGGACGACUGACUGGCUAGGCCCAAGUUCUGAGGCCCCUGUGACCUCCAUCACCACAACAGAACCCAGGGUUUGUCUCAUAGUAGCAGGUCUAAAGCCAGCUGACUUCCUGAUUCCGUCCCUCAUUCCAUUCCCCAGCCCAAGCUCCCGCCCCUACCUCUGGCUUAAAAGGUGCUGCUCUGACUCUCAGGCUGGAAGAUGCUGAAGUCUCUACUUCAGACCCCCAAGAUGCUGCUGUUUAUUUGUCUUGCUAAUAAAUCUGCCUCCAGUUGUCUCCGGGUCUUAAAUCAACCUAACAGGCAGUCCUCCUCCUUUUAAAAACAUUUUUUAAAUUUUUGAGAUAGAUCUGGAAAUAUUGGCCAAACGGAGCUCACACGUACAAUCCUGCCUUAGGCUCUAGUCAUGGGAUUACAGGCAUUUGCCACCUACCCAGCUUCCCCGCCACACCCCCAACUCAGCGGUUGGAGCCAAGGACCUUCAUACUGAAGUACAUCACCAGAACUUUUGAAAAAAACAUUUAUUUUUAGUUUUCCAUUUUUCGUUGUUGUUGUUUUGUGUUGUUUUUUGUU
rnacentral:lncRNA from 1 species